CUACGUGCCAGCAGCCGCGGUAAUACGUAUGUCGCAAGCGUUAUCCGGAAUUAUUGGGCAUAAAGGGCAUCUAGGCGGCCAGAUAAGUCUGGGGUGAAAACUUGCGGCUCAACCGCAAGCCUGCCCUGGAAACUAUGUGGCUAGAGUACUGGAGAGGUGGACGGAACUGCACGAGUAGAGGUGAAAUUCGUAGAUAUGUGCAGGAAUGCCGAUGAUGAAGAUAGUUCACUGGACGGUAACUGACGCUGAAGUGCGAAAGCUAGGGGAGCAAACAGGAUUAGAUACCCUGGUAGUCCUAGCUGUAAACGAUGAUUACUGGGUGUGGGCAUGAAGAGUGUCCGUGCCGAAGCUAAUGCGAUAAGUAAUCCGCCUGGGGAGUACGUACGCAAGGCUGAAACUCAAAGGAAUUGACGGGGACCCGCACAAGCGGUGGAGCAUGUGGUUUAAUUCGACGCAACGCGAGGAACCUUACCAGAUCUUGACAUCC
rnacentral:rRNA from 1 species